UACGGAGGAUCCAAGCGUUAUCCGGAUUUAUUGGGUUUAAAGGGUGCGUAGGCGGACUGAUAAGUUAGAGGUGAAAUGUCCGAGCUCAACUCGGGAACUGCCUCUAAUACUGUUGAUCUAGAGAGUAGAUGCGGUAGGCGGAAUGUAUGGUGUAGCGGUGAAAUGCUUAGAGAUCAUACAGAACACCGAUUGCGAAGGCAGCUUACCAAUCUAUAUCUGACGUUGAGGCACGAGAGCGUGGGGAGCAAACAGG
rnacentral:rRNA from 1 species